GAGUUUGAUCGUGGCUCAGAUUGAACGCUGGCGGCAGGCCUAACACAUGCAAGUCGAACGGUAACAGGAAGAAGCUUGCUUCUUUGCUGACGAGUGGCGGACGGGUGAGUAAUGUCUGGGAAACUGCCUGAUGGAGGGGGAUAACUACUGGAAACGGUAGCUAAUACCGCAUAACGUCGCAAGACCAAAGAGGGGGACCUUCGGGCCUCUUGCCAUCGGAUGUGCCCAGAUGGGAUUAGCUAGUAGGUGGGGUAACGGCUCACCUAGGCGACGAUCCCCUAGCUGGUCUGAGAGGAUGACCAGCCACACUGGAACUGAGACAC
rnacentral:rRNA from 1 species